rnacentral:lncRNA from 1 species
AUGCUCCUUUGUACGUCGUGGCAGGGUCUUAAAUCCACCAGCAAAACAAAUGCCUCACGACAGAUGACUGAUAGGUGCUCCCCUGACAGCCGGGAUCUCUGCCUCCCGCACCCCGAUCUGGGCUUCAGAGGUGGCAGGAGGCCAGCAGCAUCUGCCUGCCAGCUCCCUCCCCGCUGCACCCCAGCGCCACGGCAUCCCACUGACCUUCGCUUAUCUACACACACAGAAGGAGCCGCGCGGACCCGUUCCACCAAGCAGCCACUUCAGGGAAAUUCGUUUCCUUUUACUGCACAUAAAAAUAAAUUGCUCCCCACAAAGGAGGGACAAAAAGGACAAGCCUCUCCCUCUAAUAGGAUCGCCGGGACAGGGGUGUUUUCUCUGCACAGUCAUCACCGGGGGAGCCUGCUGUCAAUUUCGUAUCACCAAGCACCACCACGGCAGGCUGGCAGGCGGCGCCCGCCUUUCCUCCUGCCCUGUCCUGUUUUCCUGAUAGGGUAGGGGUCACGUGUUUCUAACGUGGAUGGACAUCUUCUCCUCCCUUGGCCCUAACAUUUUCCCGUCUAGGACAGAAGUUGAGGGGAGGUGUGGGAGCAUCUUUAGAUGAGGGGCAGUGUGAUGCUCAGGCAAAAUUAUGUAUACAUGCAUGUUCUCUGUCACAGGAACACACACACACACGGGACAUACAUGCAUGGGCAUUGACACAGGAACAUGCAUACACACAUGGGACAUACAUGCAUGGACAUUGACACAGGAACACACACACGGGACAUACAUGCAUGGACAUUGACACAGGAACACACACACACGGGGACAUACAUGCAUGCACAUUGACACAGGAACAUGCAUACGCACACGGGACAUACAUGCAUGGGCAUUUGACACGGGUACAUGCAUACACACGUGGACGUGCAUGCAUGCACAUUGACACAGGAACACACAUACACACGGGACAUACAUGCAUGGGCAUUGACACAGGAACAUGCAUAAACAACAGGACAUACAUGCAUGGGCAUUGACACAGGAACACACAUGCACACACAGGACAUGCAUGCAUGCACAUUGACACAGGAACACACACACGGGACAUCCAUGAAUGCACAUUGGCACAGCCGGGGUGCUCUGGGUACCAAGAGCAGGCACUAUCCGCUCUUCCAGGUGAGGUGGACUGCCCCGCAGGACCCUGUGGCUUUUGCUGUGUGGGAGGGUCUGGGAGAAGGAGGUCGUGUCUUUCUGGUGGAGAGGCUGCUGCAAGCAGAACCUUGGAAGCCACAAGUAGGUCAAAACUCUCUAUCUUGAGGCAAAAUAUAUUUUUAUGUAAGUUUUUGAAAGUAAAGAUUGAGCCAAUGUUGCUAAGUAUAACUUCUGAAAAUACUACUGGCAUGCAACUGUUCAGUGUAUUCUCUCCUGGUAUUUAAGAUCUCUGCUGUGUGAGGUUACGUCCCCUCUGCGCUCACUCUGUGUGUGUGUGUGUGUGUGUGCGCAUACACCUGUGUGCUUCUCUCAGCUUUGCUACUUUUUGCCCACCGUCUAUCCAAGGAGCUUUGGUUUCUAAGUAGAGACCCCGUUUGAAGAGCUAAGGGUCACCUCUGCUGCUGAGUUGUUCAUAGUAUUCUCUGCUUUUUCAGUGAACUGAGCUAGAAAUUUCUUUUAAUAUAAAAUGCUUGGGGAUAGGUAGGUGGGUAUAGUGGGAAGAAUCACUAUAUUCUUAAGUUGUACUUAUGAAAAUUGUACUCAUUUAAUAAAAGUUUUGUUUGGGGGAAAAAAGAUAAAACU